GAUGAACGCUGGCGGCGUGCCUAAUACAUGCAAGUCGAACGCUGAAGGAAGGAGCUUGCUCUUUCCGGAUGAGUUGCGAACGGGUGAGUAACGCGUAGGUAACCUGCCUGGUAGCGGGGGAUAACUAUUGGAAACGAUAGCUAAUACCGCAUAACAGUAGAUAUUGCAUGAUAUCUGCUUGAAAGGGGCAAUUGCUCCACUACCAGAUGGACCUGCGUUGUAUUAGCUAGUUGGUGAGGUAACGGCUCACCAAGGCGACGAUACAUAGCCGACCUGAGAGGGUGAUCGGCCACACUGGGACUGAGACACGGCCCAGACUCCUACGGGAGGCAGCAGUAGGGAAUCUUCGGCAAUGGACGGAAGUCUGACCGAGCAACGCCGCGUGAGUGAAGAAGGUUUUCGGAUCGUAAAGCUCUGUUGUAAGAGAAGAACGAGUGUGAGAGUGGAAAGUUCACACUGUGACGGUAUCUUACCAGAAAGGGACGGCUAACUACGUG
rnacentral:rRNA from 1 species